UGCCCCACCUUCUUCGUCGCUCAAGACCGUUUCAGCAGGAGAUCUGUAACUGCAAAUCAUGGGACGCAUGGACGAACGUGGCUCACCCUGAUUACCACGUUCAGAGAAAAAAGGAAAAAAGGCAGACGAAAAGGACGGGGAAGAAACAGAACCCCAAUUGAAAAGCACAGACCAAAAGCUUUCUUCCCAAACACAAUCUCAAAGAAAAAAACCACAGGAGGACGAAACAGAUACCGAAACCAGAGGGAACAGGGGCCGAGAACCGGAGACAAAAACGGAGAGGCAGGUAACGAAACAGGGAGAACGAACAGGGGGAAGCGCACUGGACUGGGAAACCCAGGAGACACAAAAAAAACACAAGCAGAGGAAAGUCACCGAGACCGUUGCUACUGCCCUCGGCGUUUCCAGAACCAAGAGAGAAAGCAAAGGAAAGCAGAAGAAGGAGCAGAGGAGAGGAGGCAGUGUCGGCCAGCCAGAGCUUCGCCAUCGUCUCCAUCGACUCCAGCAGACCAGGCGACUGCUAAAUGUCACUGUUCGGGCUGCUUAAAGAAACUCUUUGAAGCUUAAAAAGUCUAAAUCGUGAUGAGGCAUUGCAAAGAUCAAUAUAUAGUGGAUAAUCCAUCUGUAGAUUACCACCAGCAAAACUAGAUCUUUUAGGAGCUACAGAAUUGAACAUUCAAGUUUACAUGUGAAUACUUGAGCUGGGCGUGCUCUACAGAGAGACAACGAAAAGCUUCCUAUCAA